rnacentral:lncRNA from 1 species
GCCGUUCAUGCCAAAUAUAAACCUUUAUUAGCAACACAAGUGCAAGGGGGUUUAUGAAUGGUUGGUGACUGAAACGUUUUAUGCAAAACAACUUUGCCAUACAGGGUCAAAUGAUUUCCAAGGAAGGGAGGUCAAAUUGAUCCACUGUUGGACUGUUAAUUGGUUGAGAAGAAGCAGGAAAGGCUUAAUGAGGGAGAGAUGACAUUUUCCUAAGAACCAUCUUUAAAAGAAAAUGGGGGCAAACCCAAUGCAGAAUGAUGGACAGGGCAACCUGUGCAACCUAGCCCUCUUUCUUGCUUGCCCAAGGAUAACAUUGCUGUGUGCUGUGCAAGCCCAGGCGUGCUGCACUGUGGAAAGCAGAGGUGAGAAAAUGACAGAUGCUACAAAUCAUCUGUUGCCCAAAACUCUUUCAGCAGUUAAAACCGUUUCAGAGGAAAAAUGCUGGACGUUCAAGGGUUUCCCUGACAGUUUUACACUGCUUACAGCACAUAAUAACUUGCAGAUGCAUUUUGCUCCUGUGUCCCGUCUGCACAAAGGAAAAUGAAAACUUCCUAUAGAAGAAUUAAUUGGAACUCCUGUGCUGUUCCUUGACCAAAAGAUUACUUUCCUUUUUUUGUUCAAGUGCUGAACUCUAAAGUGACAAGUAAUAAACUAGCUACAGUCAGUACUUCUCAGGUCAAUGCUUCAGGCUACUUCAACUGGCAACAACUGUCUACUCAGGGAAGGAGCAAUGGAGGCUCUGUCUCUGGGCUCAUAGUUAUAUUAUACUUUCAUUGUAACUCAUUGCCUGUUUGUCCUUGCCAGCCAACACAAGCCACAGAUUUGGAAUUAGAAGUUGUUCCUUCCCACACAGCAGAAAAUGUUGUUUGCUGCAUCCUACCCAGUAGCAGAUUGGCAUACCCACUGGGGCCAGGAAGCUUUUUGACAGGGCAGGAUUUGCAAGACACAGUUGUAUGUCCCAGUGCCAGCACACAGCAAGUGAGGAGUCCAAUAGCAUUCUCAGUCACUGGGGGUAUUUGCAUAAUGAUUCAUGGCUUUGGUUAUGAUGCUCAAUUUACUAACAAGAAAAUAGAGGGUGUUGCUUUAUUUUCCUGAGACAUAAUAAACCCACUGGCCAUCCCUGCACUUGUUUUUGUGACCUCUCUGCUGAAUGCAGUUAUUUCCAUAACUCUUCAGGUAUAUCCUGGCAUUUGCCAGUGGAGUCUCUUGAAAGGAGGACUGUCUGCAAGCAUGUAGGUGGUUCAGCGGUCUGAAGUUCUGUAACUCGCACACUAGUAGCGAAAGAAGGAGCAGGCCUCUGGGCUGGAGCUCCCAUUCAAAACCAAGAGAUCCCAAGCUCCUGGAAAUGGUCCUGAUUAUGGCUUUGGCAGAGUGCAUGUUGGCCUUGGAAGGGGCCUCAGAAGUCCAUCUCCCCAUCCCCAGGCAGGUUCAGCCGUAUGUAUCUCACACCUACCAUGUAAUAGAUGCUUCUCUAUUCCAAGACUUUCUUGUGACAGACACUUCCCUGCAGACUGUUUUGCAACUGUUGUGUCCAUUCUACUGGAAAGUAGCCCUAGUAGGAGCUGACCACCAAGGCGAUUCAGAGAGUAUCCCUAAUAUUCCAUUGUCUAUAUUGAAGGGAUUGAUCUCAUCAUGAGGAAGUCAGUGCCGGACACAUCCAGGAUAUGCCUGUGUCCUGCUCUGAGAUGGCAGUUUGUACUAAAUUUCUGCUUUCCAUAUGAAAGUAUUAGGAUUUUUUGAUCUCUAGUGGAAAAGACUUUUAGAUAGCUCCUUCCUUCCCCUUGUUCCCCAGAAGCAAUAGAGAUGACUGGAAUUGGAGGUAGGGAAGUGUAUCUUAAAAUAGGCUUUUCCAAAAGAAGCUACAAUUGAGACAGUCUUCAGCGUUGCCAGCCCACUUAAAAAUUACUGAGUUCCCUAACAUAGGAAGACUUACCAUGUUUGCAGAUGGAAUUGAGUUUGCAUCAUUGAGAUAGUGUAAGUCCUGUUUUAUAAUCAAGUUUUUUAAAGCCAGGAUCCUGUCUUUCACAAUGACAGCUGGGAUUCCCAUGUAAUGACACAAAAAGGCUGGUCUUCGGAGAAAACAAAGUUUGGGCAAGAAUUCAGAAAACGUCUUAAGGCGAGUAACAGCAUGUUGUUUAGUGCCAAAGAACUCUGGGAGGUGGAAACCCACCAGGAGUUCUGUUUGAUGAUGAGGAAACCAGGUACUGACACUGUAGGAAUAGACUGUGAUUUAGGGAAUGGGUUGAAAUGAGGUGUCAGCCAUGUGUUGCGACCUGCAGUGCUCAUUCAGUUGUAUAAUUUAUUUUUUGUUUUCUGUAAGCUCUGCCUGCAACAAAACUUGAUGGGUUGGUUCCAAGAUAACUUGGCAAGAUAUUCCUCAAUGUUUGUCUGAGAUCUUUACCGCGUGGACCUGCAUGUUCAACUGACAUGGGCUGGAGGAAGGCGAAAAGCACAUCUUCUGCUCAGGAGGUGAUUUCACAGCUGAAAAUAAGAACUUUCACGUGCUAGCUAAGCUCUUGCUUGGAAACAUCCUCUGUGACUGACAAGUGGCAGUCUAUAUUUAUGCAUGCAUAUUGUUAACAACAAAGAGGAAAGGCUGGCAAGACAGUGGCAUAACGUGAGAGAGUAUUAGUAACAAGGGUACAGGAAAGCAUUGAAAGGAUUAUCUAAAAAGGAGAUAAUUCCUUUUGGAAGAAGCAAAUUUGUCACCGGUGUGGAAGAAUGAAUUAUUUGCCUGGGGGAAGGUAAAGAGGAUGCAAAGAAGGAUUCAUUAUGCAGAGAAGAGAGGGACCAGAUGGAGCUGGUGAUUUUCACCUACUGUAGCACAUCAGUUCUCAGAGGAACCUGAACUAUCAGCAAUUUGAGAAAU